rnacentral:lncRNA from 1 species
GUGGUAGUGAUUUGCCUUAGCUUGUGUUCAGCCAGGAAGCAACGUCCAGAUCGCGGCAAUUCCGUUAUUAGUCGGGAAUUUGAUGCUUAAGUGAUAAGUCGAAGGGAAUGCCUUCAUGGCGUUAAGCCAAGGCGUGCCCGUGAUGACGUUGUAAAUGGUCGGGUGGUCGAUGACCGCGAAGUCGACAAUCUUCGUGACUUCUUUCACAGCAACGGGCAAUUUAAUCGACCCGGGAGUCAUUGACAUUGUGCCCUCGAAACUGGUUAGCGGCUUGGGCGAUGGUACGACUUCUCCUAGCUCGACGUUCAUCCUCUUGACAGUAUCGCGGAAGAUGACAUUGACUGCGCUUCCCGUGUCGAUGAGAACCCUUGCGACCUCAAGAUCUCUUAUCACGAGAUCGAUCACGAUCGGAUCGUAGUGGGGGUAAGUUUUGAUGGCACAGAUGGUAUCGCUGCAGUAUUGCGA